UAGCCAGGCCAUUCGGGUGUAUGUACCUUUCUACUUGUGGAGAAUCAAGGUAGGAUCCGGUAGGAAUCAAGAUAGGAAGCCGUGACGCGUUCUUCGAGCGUUGAGAGGACAAACACAACUUGGUCGAACUCGUAAUCCUCAUCGCUUCCUCCACAUCAUCUCCAUCUUCCAUAUCCUGACCGUGAAGUUAUCGCGCCAGUUUGGAGAUGAGAAUUUGCAAGAAGCGAGAUAAGUGUGGCAGACAGGGGUGAGGUAAGUCAGCCUUUUCAUCCCAUGUUUGUCGGGAUGUGCUGCACACCGAGUGCGUUGUCAGUGGACAUAAGCCACUUACCUGAUUCCACACACUGUAGCGUUUUCUUAGAGAUACAUUACGCAAACGUUAAAAAUGCUCUAACUAUUUUAGCUUGCGAUACAGAGAAUUUGAAAGGUCUUUAUUAAAAGAACUUUUUUUUUAUUGAAUGUAUUUAAGGAGAGGUUUGGGCUUAUGUGUGGCGCCGGCUACUCCUCUUCUCUUGCGUGACAGUUAUCGUCGGAAAGCUGUCAUCACCAAACUGGACAAACAAACACAUGAACAAACAUUCACGUACUAGGUAUCAGUACUGCAAUGUAAAUAAAUGACCGCGCAAUAAGAUAGGUCACAUAGCAUACACGCUCACAAAACCGAAAUGUGCAUACGCAACACAUGAGUUCACACAGCAUGAAUGUUCAAAAAACCAAGUCAUUCACGCAUAAGAUGUUGGACAUUUACAUACCGCACUCUAUAUGCAACAAAUACGAAUGCUUCAUGAUCACGAAUACACAAUGAACAUGUAAUUAAGGGUGCCUGUCAAUAUUAACAAUGCGAGCUAUAACUACUGUAUGACAGUAUUUUUGCGAUAUGUUUGAUUCCUCCAAAAAUUGUACAAGGCGCACGCAACGAUGGUUUGAAGUUUUUCUGUUAGCAAUGGAGCUAAAGUUUUUCCUAAGGAUAGUGGCCGUCUAUCCAAGGCAUGUAGUUUUUUCGAGAGAUUCUUGCGGGGAGAAUCGUGAUUUUUACAGUGUAGAAGAAGGUGUUCCAUAUCUUCAGCCUCUUCACAUGAGCAUCUAGCACUGUUAGUUUAUUUAUCCUAUACAGGAAGAUUUUAGUAUAGCCAGUGCCUACUCAAAGCCCAUGAACUGUUGUUUCAGCAGAUAGACUAAUUUUAAACGGAAUAUUCAAUUCUAUUCCAGGAUCUAUAUUAUACAAUUGAGAGUUCUGCGCAUCAUUUAUGAACCAAGUUUCCUUGGACAAUCUACCCCACAGUUUGUUCAUUAGACAUCGCGCUUCACUCGCCGCUUGAUGAAUUAAUGAUAAUUCAUUCUCUUGAUGUGCUGCACGUGCCACGUGAUCAGCUGUUACAUUUCCCAUGAUUUCACAGUGACUUGGAAUCCACUGGAAAGUUAUGUCGUGUCGUAGAUCUUUCGUUAUGGCAUACGUCUUCUGUAUUUCGUAUGUCAAUGUGCUGUUUGCUUUUCUUAACCUGAUUUCUUUUAAGCACAGCAAUGAGACUUGUGAGUCACUCAGAAUUACCCAACGAAGGGGCUCUGAUUGCUGACAUAUGUACCGUAAAGCAGAAAGUAUUGCGCAAGGUUCUGCAGUUGUCGACGUUGUAGAGUGGCAGUUUAUAAGCUCCUUUUCUCUUGGUGUGCAGGUAUAUAAAACGCAGAUGUAGAGCUUUGUUUCCAGCAUGAGUCAUCGGUAUACACGUGAAUGCGAUCUACGUACUUAGUGUAAAGACGUGAUAAAGUUAAUUGCUUUAUCGCAACUAUGGGCAUUUCACAUCUGCGACCUACUCCAGGAAUUGAAGUGACUAUUUCUGGAAAUGUUAGUCGCCAUGGGGGAUGAGUUGCGCAAGUAGGCCAGCAUUUGUAAGCAGGCAGGAAGUUUUUGCACCGCCGUAUUUCUUCAUGUAUGCGAGCAGCGGUUCUAUCCUGAAGGUCUUGGCGUAGUGGAUGAUUAGCGUGUUGUGUAGCCAAACGAAAAAAGUGACGACACGUUUCCGUAAAUCUUAGUGCAUGAAAAGUUGGUUGACGAGACUCGGCAAUUACCAAAGCACAGCAGAUGCAUGCGGAACACCAAUACAUAUGCGAAGGCUUCUGGCCAGCAAUCUUUGAAUUGUUUCCUCUAGAUUACAGGAUAUUCCAUGUAGCAGAGGAGCAGCGUGUGCUAUUCUUUGUCUAAUGAUUGCCGAGUGAAUGCGUAAUAAGGAAGAGGUUGAACUACCCCAUCUAACUCCAGUAAAUAGACGGAGAAUGUUGAUUAGAGGGUUGGCUUUCUCCUCUAAUGCUUUUAUUUGGGGAGCCCGUGGUAGCCGUCGGUCUAUGAUAAUACCCAAGAAUUUGUGUUGUCGCACGAGUUGCAGACGCUGAGUCUAGCACGAGCUGGAAUCUCUUGAGGCAUUUCCCUGUAAAAGAAAGUACAGCAGUUUUCUCAUGUGAAAUCAUACCUCUGCUUUUCAAAAA
rnacentral:lncRNA from 1 species